CCCUGUGACUAUAAGUUUAACGGCCGCGGUAUUUUGACCGUGCAAAGGUAGCGCAAUCACUUGUCUUUUAAAUGGAGACCUGUAUGAAUGGCAAGACGAGGGCUAAGCUGUCUCCUUUUCCAAGUCAGUGAAAUUGAUCUCCCCGUGCAGAAGCGGGGAUGCCAUCAUAAGACGAGAAGACCCUAUGGAGCUUUAGACACUAGAAAACCCAUGUUAAACAACCUCUUUAAAGAGUAAGAACUUAAUGGCACCUCAUCUAUUUGUCUUCGGUUGGGGCGACCGCGGGGGAAAGACUAGCCCCCAUGUGGAAUGGGAAUAUAUUUUCUCAGAGCCAAGAAGGACCUUUCUAAGCAACAGAAAUUCUGACCAAAAAUGAUCCGGCAAAGCCGAUCAACGGACCCAGUUACCCUAGGGAUAACAGCGCAAUCCUCUCCCAGAGUCCCUAUCGACGAGGGGGUUUACGACCUCGAUGUUGGAUCAGGACAUCCUAAUGGUGCAGCCGCUAUUAAGGG
rnacentral:rRNA from 1 species